GUGAUGCACUUUAGUGGGGUGCUCAUUUAUUUAUUUAUUUGUUUGUUUGUUUAUUUGUUUAUUUAACUGUAUCACGUGUUCGCACGCAUUUUUUUCGGUUGCCAGGCGACGCCUGUGACGUCACAUAGUAGAAUCGAUUUAGAAGCGAACAGAACCGACACAGAAUUGUUAAAAAUUCAUUGAGCUUUAGAAAUCUGUCGUACUAUGAGACAAUAAGUUGUUUGUUUUAGUUACUCUGAUCUUUGUAGAGAUUAAAAAAAUGAUUUUUUUCAGUGUAGUUAUUAACGCGGUAAUGGAUCUUCUAUUGCGCCCCCUGCUGUUAACCGCUGAAGCUGCAGCCACAACAGCCUUCAUUUACUGUUGUUUUAAACGUGACGACGGAGAACAAACCACCGUCCCUCAAGUAUAUGAACAGACCACGGAACCGGCUCUGGUCCGACCCACAGAGGUUGUUCAGGACCAGAUGAUGGCGUGUGAGAGAGAUCGAGAGACUCACAGAUUCCUCCAAGAGGAGAAGAAGAUGAUGAAGACUCUGGCACAUGAAAAGGAGUUACUAAAGGUGUACGAGCGAGAGCAGGAGGCCCACAUUAUCCUCCAGGCUGAGAACAGUGAGUCCAUCAUUUACCUGGAGGAAGAGAACAACGAGAAGAAGAGGACUCUGUUUGACCAGAAGGAGUUACUGAAGGCCACUCUGGCUGAUACUGAGAAGGAUUUGGAGACGAUCCAUCAGCUGGAGAUGGAGAAGACUCACCUGAUAAAACACAUAGAGGAGCUGAAAGGAUCAUUUGAGGACAUGGAGAAACAGCUCCUUGAUAAACUGAUGCAGUGUGUUGAACUUGUGAAUGAGCGAGAGGCUCACAGCAUCCUUCAUGCAGAGAAUUAUGAGAUUAAGAAGACCAUCACUCAACUGGAGGAGAAAAACAGUGAGAUGAAGAAGACUCUGAUUCAGAAGGAGGAGUUACUGAAGCUCAGUCAGGCUGAAGGUGAGGAGAAACAUCAGAAGGAUGAGGAGACCAUCAUUCAGCUGCAGAAGGAGAGGUCUGACCUGGCAAACAAGGUGGAGAUACUAAGAGACACAGUAGAGGAACUGGAUAAGGAGUUCUUUGAGUCUAUCAGAGAGUAUGACGAGAUAACAAAUGCCACUCUGGCUGAUGCUGAGAAGGAUUUGGAGACGAUCCAUCAGCUGGAGAUGGAGAAGAAUCACCUGACAAAACACAUAGAGGAGCUGAAAGGAUCAUUGGAGGACAUGGAGAAACAGCUCCUUGAUAAACUGAUGCAGUGUGUUGAACUUGUGAAUGACAGAGAGGCUCACAGCAUCCUUCAUGCGGAGAAUGAUGAGAUGAAGAAGACCAUCACUCAUCUGGAGGAGAAGAACAGUGAGAUGAAGAAGACUCUAAUUCAGAAAGAGGAGUUGCUAAAGCUCUUUCUGGCUGAAGGUGUGGAGAAACAUCAGAAGGAUGAGGAGACCAUUACUCAGCUGCAGAAGGAGAGGUCUGACCUGACAAAGCAUGUGGAGAUACUGAGAGACACAGUAAAGGAAUUGGAUAAGGAGUUCUUUGAGUCUAUCAGAGAGUUUGACGAGCUAACGAACGCCACUCUGGCUGAUGCUGAAAAGGAUUUGGAGACGAUCCAUCAGCUGGAGAUGGAAAAGACUCACCUGACAAAACACAUAGAGGAGCUGAAAGGAUCAUUGGAGGACAUGGAGAAACAGCUCCUUGAUAAACUAUUGCAGUGUGUUGAACUUGUAAAUGAGCGAAAGGCUCACAGCAUCCUUCAAGCAGAGAAUGAUGAGAUGAAGAAGACCAUCACUCAACUGGAGGAGAAGAACAGUGAGAUGAAGAAGACUCUAAUUCAGAAGGAGGAGUUUCUGAAGCUCACUCUGGCUGAAGGUGAGGAGAAACAUCAGAAGGAUGUGGAGACCAUCACUCAGCUGGAGAAGGAGAGGUCUGACCUGACAAAGCAGGUGGAGAUCCUGAGAGACACAGUAGAAGAACUGGAAAACGAGUCCUUUGAGUUUGACACAGAGUAUGAGCUAAUGAAUGAGUGUGAGCGAGAGUGGGAGGUUCACAGCCUCCUUCAGACCGAGUAUAAUGAGCUAAAGAAGAUGUGUAGUCACCAGGAGGAGUUACUGAAGCUCAGUCUGGCUGAAGGGGAGGAGAAACAUCAGAAGGAUGUGGAGACCAUCACUCAGCUGGAGAAGGAGAGGUCUGACCUGGCAAACAAGGUGGAGAUACUGAGAGACACAGUAGAGGAACUGGAUAAGGAAUUCUUUGAGUCUAUCAGAGAGUAUGACGAGCUAACAAAUGCCACUCUGGCUGAUGCUGAGAAGGAUUUGGAGACUAUCCAUCAGCUGGAGAUGGAGAAGACUCACCUGACAAUACACAUAGAGGAGCUGAAAGGAUCAUUGGAGGACAUGGAGAAACAGCUCCUUGAUAAACUGAUGCAGUGUGUUGAACUUGUGAAUGAGCGAGAGGCUCAAAGCAUCCUUCAUGCAGAGAAUGAUGAGAUGAAGAAGACCAUCACUCAACUGGAGGAGAAAAACACUGAGAUAAAGAAGAUUCUGAUUCAGAAGGAGUUACUGAAGCUCAGUCAGGCUGAAGGUGAAGAGAAACAUCAGAACGAUGUGGAGGCCAUCACUCAGCUGCAGAAAGAGAGGUCUGACCUGACAAACAAGGUGGAGAUACUGAGAGACACAGUAGAGGAACUGGAUAAGGAGUUCUUUGAGUCUAUCAGAGAGUAUGACGAGAUAACAAAUGCCACUCUGGCUGAUGCUGAGAAGUAUUUGGAGACUAUCCAUCAGCUGGAGAUGGAGAAGACUCACCUGACAAAACACAUAGAGGAGCUGAAAGGAUCAUUGGAGGACAUGGAGAAACAGCUCCUUGAUAAACUAUUGCAGUGUGUUGAACUUGUAAAUGAGCGAGAGGCUCACAGCAUCCUUCAAGCAGAGAAUGAUGAGAUUAAGAAGACCAUCACUCAACUGGAGGCGAAAAACACUCAGUCUGGCUGAAGGUGCGAGAAACAUCAGAAGGAUGUGGAGACCAUCACUCAGCUGCAGAAGGAGAGGUCUGACCUGACAAACAAGGUGGAGAUACUGAGACUGAGCUGGAAAAACAGUAAAGGAACUGGAAAAGGAGCUCUUUGAAAUUGACAGAGAGUAUGAGCUAAUGAACAAACAGGACCAACCACUUGGGUUUAGUGAGAGCAGCCCGGGAUCCACAUCAUGAUCGGUGUGAUUUCACAAAGAAGUGACUCUGCAACUGACAGAAAAUAAGAAUAAAGAAAGGAAGAAUAUAUGUUUA